GCUACGGCCAUACCAGCCUGGGUACGCCCGAUCUCGUCUGAUCUCGGAAGCGAAGCAGGGUCGGGCCUGGUUAGUACUUGGAUGGGAGACCGCCUGGGAAUACCAGGUGCUGUAAGCA
rnacentral:rRNA from 1 species